UACGGAGGGGGCAAGCGUUGUUCGGAGUUACUGGGCGUAAAGCGCACGUAGGCGGUGCGGUAAGUCAGGGGUUAAAGGCUGCAGCUCAACUGCAGUAAGGCCUUUGAUACUGCAAGGCUUGAGUCAGGUAGAGGAGGGCGGAAUUCCCGGUGUAGCGGUGAAAUGCGUAGAUAUCGGGAGGAAGGCCGGUGGCGAAGGCGGCCCUCUGGCUGAUAACUGACGCUGAGGUGCGAGAGCGUGGGGAGCAAACAGG
rnacentral:rRNA from 1 species